rnacentral:ncRNA from 1 species
UUCACGGAGAGUUUGAUCCUGGCUCAGGACGAACGCUGGCGGCGUGCUUAACACAUGCAAGUCGAACGGUGAAGCCCUUCGGGGUGGAUCAGUGGCG